rnacentral:rRNA from 1 species
GUCCAGACUCCUACGGGAGGCAGCAGUGGGGAAUAUUGCACAAUGGGGGAAACCCUGAUGCAGCGACGCCGCGUGAGCGAUGAAGUAUUUCGGUAUGUAAAGCUCUAUCAGCAGGGAAGGAAAUGACGGUACCUGACUAAGAAGCCCCGGCUAACUACGUGCCAGCAGCCGCGGUAAUACGUAGGGGGCAAGCGUUAUCCGGAUUUACUGGGUGUAAAGGGAGCGUAGACGGCUGUGCAAGCCAGAUGUGAAAGCCCGGGGCUCAACCCCGGGACUGCAUUUGGAACUGUGUGGCUGGAGUGUCGGAGAGGCAGGCGGAAUUCCUAGUGUAGCGGUGAAAUGCGUAGAUAUCAGGAGGAACACCGGCGGCGAAGGCGGCCUGCUGGACCGUAACUGACGUUGAGGCUCGAAAGCGUGGGGAGCAAACAGGAUUAGAUACCCCAGUA